AUGCGUCAGUACUGGUGGGGUGUUGAGAAAGGAAAGAACAAGAUGGCGUGGCUCAGUUGGGAUAAAAUGAGAUUACCUAAGGCAAUGGGUGGCUUGGGGUUCAGAGAUAUGAGAGCUUCUAAUCAGGCGCUUCUCACUAAGCAGGCCUGGCGUCUCAUUGACACUCCGGACAGCCUUUGUGCCAGGUUGUUGAAGGCCAAAUACUACCCCUCAGGCAACCUGCUGGAUACGGUAUUCCCCAACCAUGGAUCGGCGGUCUGGAAAAGUAUCCUUCAUGGCCUCGAGUUGUUAAAAGCAUGA
rnacentral:rRNA from 1 species